rnacentral:tRNA from 1 species
UCUUCCUUGGUCUAGUGGUCAUGAUUUCCGCUUGUCAUUCCGUAAGGAGUAUAAGCGCGGGAGACCGGGGUUCGAUUCCCCGAGGGAGAG